GGCGUAAUAGCUCAGUUGAUUAGAGCGCAUCAUUCAUGCUGAUGAGGUCGUUGGUUUGAGUCCAUCUUACGCCA
rnacentral:tRNA from 1 species